rnacentral:rRNA from 1 species
UACGUAGGGUCCGAGCGUUGUCCGGAAUUAUUGGGCGUAAAGCGCGCGCAGGCGGUCCUUUAAGUCAGGGGUGAAAGCCCAGAGCUCAACUCUGGAACUGCCUUUGAAACUAGAGGACUUGGGUACGGGAGAGGUGAGUGGAAUUCCGAGUGUAGAGGUGAAAUUCGUAGAUAUUCGGAAGAACACCAGUGGCGAAGGCGGCUCACUGGCCCGUUACCGACGCUCAGGCGCGACAGCGUGGGGAGCAAACAGG